GCUCGCGUGAGUCUCCGUGGUGAGGCGUUCGCGCGAGAGGCGCGAAAUGUCGCGCAUUUCGCCCGAAUGAGCGACGUUCGGCACCGUUCGCGAGCGC
rnacentral:tRNA from 1 species